rnacentral:sRNA from 1 species
AUGGAGCGAGCUGAGAGCUCGAGUACAGAACCUGCUAAGGCCAUCAAACCUAUUGAUCGGAAUGGACCAGCAUGCCACGGAUGAGAAGUAUAA